GCCACUCACUCACUGGUCCUGGCUCCAAAAUAACUCAGCAGAAACGAGUUUCCAACCCCAAAGCCCCCCAAAUGUCUCCCAGGGAAGAGAUAUAGCUCCUAUAAUUAAAGGAGGCAACGGCCAGAGGGGGAAUGCAGUCGGCAGCCAAAAAAUAAAAAAAGUUUGAAAUUCAGGACACAAAGACAGUAUAUCAAUGAAAAGAAGAAAGUGGCCCUUUUAAUGGGAACCAAAGAAACCCCAAAUAUAGAUGAAGCGUACCGUGAGAGCUGCUUCAAAGUCCAUCUUAAUUCCCCCGGGUAAGCCCUCACCAGCACGUGGUAGUUGGGAGCUGUGCUCUGAGAUUCAAUUGUGAGGAAUUUCCAACCACACCUUCAGUCUAAUUACAUUUCUGGGGAGGGGAUAGAGGCAUGUAACUAGGUGCACAUCCCUGUAGGAAGUGACAGUGGUGAGACGUGCGUAUCCUGGGUAAUGUCCAUGUUUAGGACAAACAGAGGUUUAAGCUUCAGGUAAUAAAAGCAAGAAAAUAUCUCCUUUGUAAGU